ensembl:lncRNA
AGUUGCCAUGGCAACCGCGGACACGUCAUCAGCUACUGGAGAGGACGCGUCUGACACUUUCUCUGUUUCUCGUCAGUUAUACCAAAGAAAAGUUCAACAACUGCGACAGAUCGUUUGUUUAUUUCUAAUAAGGAGCUGGAGGCCCUGGAGAAGCAGAUCCGUGACCUCGUGGAGAAGCAGGCUCAGCUGAGAGAGCGGAGAGCCGUGAUGGAAACAUUCAGGGGUUGAUGCUCAUAAGUCCGGUGCCCGGUGUACCCAGGACGCAAUCUUUCCAGAUGUCCUUCACCCUGUGCCACAGCGUAAGACAUGAGCCAGGUCCUGGGCGACAACCUCUCUCCCCCCGCCGCCUCCGGUCUUCGGGAACUCCACUGGAAACCGAUUUGCUCCACUUCACGAGACAGAACACGACUCUGUGUUCGUCAGAGACUCCAUUAUCCGGCACGUUCGUGCUAUGUAAGCUGAAGGUAAUGUGCACACUCACUGUUUCCCUGGUGCUCGUGUUCUUGAUAUUUCUGCGCAGAUACCCGUGAUCCUGAAGGGUGAAGAGAGCAUCGGAGCGGUCGUGCUUCACACCGGGGUUAACGAUACCAAGCUGCGGCAGACGCAGACACUAAAGAGGGACUUCAGGAGCCUGAUCGAGACGGUGCGCAGCAUAUCGCCUGCACGAUGAUCAUCAUCUCAGCACCUCUUCUCAUGUAUAGAUGAGGACACGAAAGGUUCAGUAGAUUUUUUGCUCUAAAUGAAUGGUUAUUGUCAUGGUGUAAAGAACAGAAACUGCUCUUUGUUAAUAAUUGGAAUCUUUUCUGGGAGCGACCUAGGCUUUUUCGCGCUGAUGGCCUGCACCCCAGCAGAGUCGGAGCAGAACUCCUGUCGGACAACAUCUCAAGGACUCUACACUCCAUUGACUAGGCAGUUUGUGAAGACAGAUAAUCAAGAGAUGUGACAAACUGUACAGAAGUCAGUUCCAGAUCCACCCUCCACACCAGACCUCUCUCAUAUGGACUGCUGUCUACUAGCAUACUUCGGUGGAUUCAGAUAUUACUCAGGGACAUGAACACUUGAAUAUUGCAAGCAUAGAGAAAGUAAGAAUUACUGAAGAUUUAAGAAUUUAAUGUUAAUUGCUUAAACAUUAUAUAUACUGUUUUAGCAAUUAACAUUAAUAGUUUUUUUUUGGUGUCCAAAGCACCUAAAAGCCAAUUCACACCACCAUACUCCAACAGUUCAAACAAAACAAAAUAAGCAUGUUUUUUUAAAUAGUUUUUUUGGCAGUGUGAACUGGCCAUAAUGAUGUAUGUUAGGUGUGAGAUUCAUUAAACCUGAUUUGCUAUUAUACAUCUGUUCAUAAGAUAUUGCAUAUGAUUUUCAGUUAAUUGUUUGUAGUGGUUUGGUAAAGGGUGUGAUUAGCUGAUGUAUUAUUGUGGGAGCAUGUGAUUAGUUGAUGAAUUGUGUGCAUGGUUAAUGAUGGCUCUUAAGUAUUUAAAUGCAAUGGGCUGAGUGCCUACUAAGACUUGAAUAUUUCAUGACCCUGGAUGCUAACAGAAGG